rnacentral:rRNA from 1 species
UACGGAGGGGGCUAGCGUUGUUCGGAAUUACUGGGCGUAAAGCGCGCGUAGGCGGACUGUUAAGUCGGGAGUGAAAUCCCGGGGCUCAACCCCGGAACUGCCUUCGAUACUGGCGGUCUAGAGGUCUGGAGUGGUGGGUGGAAUUCCGAGUGUAGAGGGGAAAUUCGUAGAUAUUCGGAGGAACACCAGUGGCGAAGGCGGCUCACUGGCCAGAUUCUGACGCUGAGGGGCGAAAGCGUGGGUAGCAAACAGG